rnacentral:rRNA from 1 species
AGAGUUUGAUCAUGGCUCAGAUUGAACGCUGGCGGCAUGCCUUACACAUGCAAGUCGAACGGUAACAGGUUAAGCUGACGAGUGGCGAACGGGUGAGUAAUGCAUCGGAACGUGCCCAGUCGUGGGGGAUAACUGCUCGAAAGAGCAGCUAAUACCGCAUACGACCUGAGGGUGAAAGCGGGGGACCGCAAGGCCUCGCGCGAUUGGAGCGGCCGAUGUCAGAUUAGGUAGUUGGUGGGGUAAAGGCCUACCAAGCCGACGAUCUGUAGUUGGUCUGAGAGGACGACCAGCCACACUGGGACUGAGACACGGCCCAGACUCCUACGGGAGGCAGCAGUGGGGAAUUUUGGACAAUGGGCGCAAGCCUGAUCCAGCAAUGCCGCGUGCAGGAAGAAGGCCUUCGGGUUGUAAACUGCUUUUGUCAGGGAAGAAAUCCUCUGGGCUAAUACCUCGGGGGGAUGACGGUACCUGAAGAAUAAGCACCGGCUAACUACGUGCCAGCAGCCGCGGUAAUACGUAGGGUGCGAGCGUUAAUCGGAAUUACUGGGCGUAAAGCGUGCGCAGGCGGUUUUGCAAGACAGAGGUGAAAUCCCCGGGCUCAACCUGGGAACUGCCUUUGUGACUGCAAGGCUAGAGUACGGCAGAGGGAGAUGGAAUUCCGCGUGUAGCAGUGAAAUGCGUAGAUAUGCGGAGGAACACCGAUGGCGAAGGCAAUCUCCUGGGCCUG